rnacentral:tRNA from 1 species
GGAAAGAUGGCAGAGCGGUUGAAUGCGGCGGUCUCGAAAACCGUUGUCCGCAGUUAUGCGGACCGAGGGUUCGAAUCCCUCUCUUUCCG